GAGGGUAUAGCUCAAGUGGUAGAGCACAUGCUUAGCAUGCAUGAGUUCCUGGGUUCAAUCCCCAUUACCUCCU
rnacentral:tRNA from 1 species